rnacentral:rRNA from 1 species
CCUACGGGACGCAGCAGUGAGGAAUAUUGGUCAAUGGGCGAGAGCCUGAGCCAGCCAAGUCGCGUGAAGGAUGACGGCCCUAUGGGUUGUAAACUUCUUUUGUCAGGGAGCAAUUGGGUCCACGCGUGGGCUUAGCGAGAGUACCUGAAGAAAAAGCAUCGGCUAACUCCGUGCCAGCAGCCCCGGUAAUACGGAGGAUCCGAGCGUUAUCCGGCUUUAUUGGGUUUAAAGGGAGCGGAGGUGGAUUGUUAAGUCAGUUGUGAAAGUUUGCGGUUCAACCGCAAAAUUGCAGUUGAAAUUGGCAG